CUGACCUGCGGUGCCACCUGUUGCUGCUGGCUCAGGAAGCGCUCCUCUUCUGUCCAGCUGGAGGAAGUCAGCGGCUCUGAGGCGGAGGCCCCCCACCUCACCUUCCUCCAAGGUUGCCGCUGCUAACUCAUUAAAAAACACGACAGCGAUGGACGUGAACACUCAGCGUUCGGCCAUCAGAGGAGACGUCUGUGUCUUACUGAGGCCUUGAAGCAACAAGCCCCUCAUACUUGGUCGCGGUUACGUACUCACUUAAAAUCAGACAUUACUGUGUGUUGGUACCUAAACGCAUCAUUGUGUUACCAAGUGAGGGAAGGAGUGGCUCAUUUUCCAUGCCGACCUGAACACAGCAUCACAUACACAAGAGCGUAAUGAGGUCAGUAGCAGCUGGUCCAGUCAACAAAGCUAGCAUGACUGAUAGAAAGCAGCUAGAACCUGGAGGAUAGCAGCCCUUGAGGACUUUGAACACCACUGCUCUACAGCCAUCACCACAUUUAAGAAUCUUCUUAGCUGGGGAGUGGAAAGCAUCAAUGAGCUCCGAUAUGUGGAGGGAGCUCCAGGAGUGGACCUCGCUGAUGUACUGACACACAUCCACAUCUGAACACUUCUUCACCAACUAAAACAGCCUCCUAAAACCUCCAGUCGUCUUGUGUGAUCCUGGACACCCAAGUUACCACAACAUCUCCAUGGACUCAGGACUUCAGGACCAGACUCUGCAGACCUCUGAUCAUCCCAGGAUGAUCCACCUUCAGCUCCACCAGUCAGGAGGAGGAAGAUGAGAAAAGGUCAAACUUUCUGUCUACACAUCCACAGAACUAUACUUUUUAAGCUAAGCUACAAAGACGAGCUGAGCUUUAAAAGCUGUGUCAGACUUUGUGGCACAGGGAGGCUCUGCUCCUCAUCAUCCUCAUAGAAAUCCUCCAGCAGCCCUUCAUGUCUUACCCUUUCACCUUUCUCCCUCAGCGCCGUUGUGGAACCAGAUCCCAGGAGAACCACUCUUCAGCUGUAUCAAUAAUUGUUCCAAGGAUCUUCUGUUGUCCGUAGUCGUCAUGAUCCUGAGCACGUGUUGCUACCUGCAGACUGGCGGAAUCAGCUUGGAGGGUGCGGCUCAUGGCGCCUUCAUGAUGCUGUGGUGGAUAUAAGGGGCGCUGAGACGGUCCAACUUGGCCUGAUGCUCAACCUCUCUGGAUGCUGCCUGCUAGCGGCCCGUUCACCUGACCAGGAUUUCUCUGGGUCUGAUCGCCUCAGUCCGCUCAGACUUUAUGGUCCUCCAUCCACGGUCGUCUCCAAACUGCCCCCUCCUCCCUCCUGCCCGCUGUCCAACCCUCCACUCCGGGAAGUCCACCUCCCAGCUACCGGGAACCUCCACUCCCUCAGUUCAUCUGCCGUCUCAUCACGGUAAGCCCUCCUCCUCUCAGCAAGCACCUGCUGGCCUUUCCUCAUCCACCAACUAAGCUGUCAUUGUGUCUUCACACCGAACGCAUUUCUAAUGUGGCCACGUUUGAAACGCGUAUUGCCAGCAAUUGGCUCAGCGGGCGACCAGCCAAAAAUACAGCAGUAACAAUGGCGCCAUCUAGUGACGCUUUCACUUCCUGCCACUGCUGUCUCCUCACUCACUCUUCAGGUUCGGUCCUUUCUAGACUUGUCUCGUUCGUAAUAAUAACCUCACAGCCACACCUAGCUCCUGAUUGGUUGUCGCAACGCAACAACACACCAACUGUCGCUUCACAUCCACCGUAGGUGUCGUGUCGCUGUGGCUUCACUGUUCGACACCAAAAUGGCGACACGUCUGCUGUGUCGCUUUCCGUCGCAUCGCUCCUGUGUUGCACCUGUACAUGGGGAUAACAUGUAGAUCUGUCGCUUGAGCCACCACAUUCGCAUUCGGUGUGAACACACCUUCAGGGUGUGGGUUGUGCUGCUCCGUUCCUUUCCUCAGGUGGCCACUGGAGGGCAGAGCUGAGAUCAGUUUGAGCGAUGCUGACUCAGCACACCUGGCUCUCAUCAUCAUCAGCGGUGCAUCUGAGGAGCUGGCUGCUGAUCCUCUGACCCCUGGGUGUCCUCCUCUGUGGUGCCUUCAAAGAAGAUUUCUGGACUUACCUGGCUCUCCGUCAGAUGGCAGUCAUCUGGUUACCUCUUCUACGAUCAGAGGAUCGUAGAAGAGGUAACCGCCUUGAAUCGAACCUGUUCGCCCAUUUUUAGUCUUCACCGGACGCUCUGUGCUCACGACCCGGAAACAGACCGCCACUUCCAACUCAAACGUGAGUUCCUGGUUCCCCGAGCUGACCUUCAUCCCAGCAGAUCCCACACACCAUGCACUGACUCUAAUAAACUGUUCACCUUUCUGCUGUAACCUGAGAGUCUGUCUUGCAUUUGAGUCAAAAGCUUAAAAAACAUGAGGAUACCUGCAAUCAUGUUAGUUGUUGCCCGCACAACUUGGACAUCUGUGCCUAUAUUAAUGAAGAAUCAUAAGACUAAAAGUAGUAGUGGUGACAUUUUAGUUGUUUCCUCCGCUCUUUAGGUGGUGGUGGAACAGAGAGAGAGCUGA